UCACUUCUAUAUCUAGAGGUUGGACUGGU
rnacentral:piRNA from 1 species